rnacentral:rRNA from 1 species
CACGUAGGGCGCAAGCGUUGUCCGGAAUUAUUGGGCGUAAAGAGCUCGUAGGCGGUUCGACAAGUCGGGUGUGAAAACUCCGGGCUCAACCCGGAGACGCCACCCGAUACUGUCGUGACUGGAGUCCGGUAGGGGAGUGGGGAAUUCCUGGUGUAGCGGUGAAAUGCGCAGAUAUCAGGAGGAACACCGGUGGCGAAGGCGCCACUCUGGGCCGGUACUGACGCUGAGGAGCGAAAGCGUGGGUAGCAAACAGG